AUGGAUCAAGCGAUCAAGGGCACAGGGUGGAUGUCUAGGCACGGACUGGCGAUGAAGGACGUGGCAAGCUGCGAUAAGCCAGGGGUAGCUGCAAGCAAGCGUUGAUCCCUGGAUUUCCGAAUGGGGAAACCCGGCCGGGGUGAUGCCCGGUCAUCCCUUCGCUGAAUACAUAGGCGUUGGGAAGCGAACCGAGGGAACUGAAACAUCUAAGUACCUCGAGGAAGAGAAAACAACCGUGAUUCCCUCAGUAGCGGCGAGCGAACGGGGAAGAGCCCAAACCAUGGAGGUGUCAAGGCGGCAGCCGUUGCUUCCAUGGGGUAGGAGGGUGGUUCGUGGGAGUCUGCCGGCUCUCGGAGCGUCGCGCGGCGGUGAGUCGAAUCCGUCUGGAAAGCCAAGCCAUAGAGGGUGACAGCCCCGUAGGCGAAGCCGACGUCGCGAUCUCUGGACCAUUCCUGAGUAGGUCGGGACACGUGAAAUCCCGAUUGAAUCCGGCAGGACCACCUGCCAAGGCUAAAUACACGUCCGUGACCGAUAGCGAACGAGUACCGUGAGGGAAAGAUGAAAAGUACGCCGGGAGGCGGGUGAAACAGAUCCUGAAACCGUGUGCCUACAAGCGGUGGGAGCUCGACCCUCUCUUCGUGAGAGACGUCGGGUGACCGCGUGCCUUUUGCAUUAUGAUCCGGCGAGUUGUUCCUCAGUAGCGAGGUUAAGCCGUUCAGCGGCGGAGCCGAAGCGAAAGCGAGUCUUAACUGGGCGUAAAGUUGCUGGGGACAGACCCGAAACCAGAGUGAUCUAUCCAUGGCCAGGUUGAAGCGAGGGUAAUGCUUCGUGGAGGACCGAACCGUUGUGGGUUGAAAACUGCUCGGAUGAGCUGUGGAUAGGGGUGAAAGGCCAAUCAAACCUGGAGAUAGCUGGUUCUCCCCGAAAGAUAUUUAGGUAUCGCCUCUGAGUGUAGACUGCGGGAGGUAGAGCACUGGAAGGGCUAGGGCCCUAAACCGGGUACCAACCCCUACUAAACUCCGAAUGCCCGUUAGUUGGUCUCAGGGAGGAAGUGCACGUGCGAUAAUGUUCGUGCGCGAGAGGGAAAGAGCCCAGACCUUCAGCUAAGGUCCCCAAGUGCUAGCUAAGUGACAAAGGUGGUGGAUUUGCGGAGACAACUGGGAGGUUGGCUUAGAAGCAGCCAUCCUUGAAAGAGUGCGUAAUAGCUCACCAGUCAAGCGGAUCUGCGCCGAUAAUGGUCGGGACUAAAGUUAGCCACCGAAGCUAAGGCUGCGCGCAUCUGCGCGCGGGGUAGGGGAGCGUUGCCUGAGCCGUGAAGCGGGGCCGGAAGGCUACCCGUGGAGCGCAGGCAAGUGAGAAUGCCGGAAUGAGUACGCGAGAAACAAGGUGAGAACCCUUGUCGCCGUAAGCCCAAGGUUUCCUGAGCCAUGCCAAUCAGCUCAGGGUUAGUCGGCCCCUAAGGUGAGGCCGAAAGGCGUAGCCGAUGGAAAACGGGUCAACAUUCCCGUACCACACGAUACUGCGCUUGAGUCUGCGGAGGGACGCAGAGGUGAAAGGUCCGUCGUUUCCAUGGACAUGAACGAUGUAAGGAGGUAGGCGUUUCCGGGUAGGCAAAUCCGCCUGGUGAAGCCGAGAUCCGAUGCCGAAGAAGUCUUCGGACUUCGUUAAGGGACCGUAAUCGUACUGCCAAGAAAAGCUUCGUGGACGAGGAGUACGUGUGACCGUACCGCAAACCGACACAGGUGGGCGAGGCGAGUAGCCUCAGGCGCUCGAGUGAGUCUUGGUUAAGGAACUCGGCAAAAUGUCCCCGUAACUUCGGGAGAAGGGGAGCCGGCGGUAGGUGACCCUGCCUCGCGCAGGAGAGCCGAAACCGGCCGCAGAGAAUCGGCCCAAGCGACUGUUUAGUAAAAACACAGGUGUCUGCAAAGUCGUCAAGACGACGUAUAGGCACUGACGCCUGCCCGGUGCCGGAAGGUUAAAUGGAAGGGUUAGCUUCGGCGAAGCUCUGAAAUGAAGCCCCGGUAAACGGCGGCCGUAACUAUAACGGUCCUAAGGUAGCGAAAUU
rnacentral:rRNA from 1 species